rnacentral:miRNA from 1 species
UCCCCACUGCUCCCCCACAG